rnacentral:lncRNA from 1 species
AGAGAUGUUGGAGCUGACAACUGGAGACAAUAUGGCUUGGUGACAACAUCAUAAAAGAGGAUUGAUGAUAAUAUUGAAGAGGAAGGAGCUAGGAGUGAGUUGCUAAGUGACAGAAAAAGAGCAAGUGGAAGUUUCUUAGAAGUAGAGAAGGAAACGAGAAAGCAGAAAGUGAGAAGGUGGGAGAAUUGAAGCAAAGGAUUGCUAGAGAAGGGUGGUUCAGAGGGAACUGUCUAAUUAUAGUAUGUUUAUACUGAUGACAAUUUAAGCAUUUGAAGCACAGCCUUAUGACAUUUUAUUUGGAUAAGUUGGGCU